UACGUAGGGUGCGAGCGUUAAUCGGAAUUACUGGGCGUAAAGCGUGCGCAGGCAGUUAUGUAAGACAGGUGUGAAAUCCCGGCGUACUGGACGUGCGCUGUGACUGCAUAACUUGAGUGUGGCAGAGGGGGUGGGAAUUACCACCGUGUAGCAGUGAAAUAGCGUAGAGAUGUGGAGGAACACCGAUGGCGAAGGCAGCCCCUCGGGUGAACACUGACGCUCAUGCACGAAAGCGU
rnacentral:rRNA from 1 species